ensembl:lncRNA
AAAAAAAAAAAAGGAUGGCAGAUUAUAAAGUGCAUUCAGAUUAAACUUUUAAAUUCGUUUGCUCAUAAUAAUCCCCACUGCAGUAAAAUAUAUUAAAUCUGAUUUUAAUCACAUUACAGGACAUACACUUUAAAAGUUUUUGUUCACUCUAAAAAUGUGAGCCUGCUCUAGUGCAGCAGACAGAUUAGGCCUUCCUUCAAGAACAAAAGAUGAAACACUUACACUUUCCGGCUUUCUCUUACAUAUUUAUAUUGCUUUUCCGUGUCAGAGCUGUUACCACAGAAUACAUAUUAUUAUUAAAUUCAGAUUGCAUAUAUUGAAUUGUCUUAGCGGGUGUAAUCCUAUGCUCAGUGUAGUUUGAUUCACAACCAAAUGACUCUUUUUAAAGGUUAAGUGCAUUAAAUCAGACAGAGCCACCAGUAGCUAUAGUUAUUAUGGCGCCAUAUGGCGAGUCCGAUAUGGCAACACUAGAUUGUGCGUUAAAUAUAUUUACUUAAUUACCUUUUGCAGCUGAAGUAUUCCUCUUGAAAACUGUGCCCGCAGAAUGCUCCUCACAGCAUACACUCCAAAAACCAUUUUUUUUCUUAUCAGUACCACGAGUUUUAAUUUGUAUUCGGCGUAGGCUAAUAUUUAUACGCAUUUUCAUGAUAACCCAGGAUUUUUUAGAGUAUAUUUGAGUUUUGCAAGCUCGUGCACUCUUUUUUAUGUAUUCCUAAUAUAAAUUGUAUGAGUGCUAGUUUUGUCCCAAAGCUCUCCUUUCCUCCUCAGAACUGCUGGGCAGUGACUGCAGGGUAGUGCAUUAUUGUUCAAGCUCGUGACGUAGACGAAAGUGAAACUAACCUCAGCGUUACGCUCGUGCAUCAGAUCAGUUCACAUUUCAUUUUAAAUUCAAUUAGGCAAUUUUCAAAGUCAUUCAAAAUGACUUUUCAGGUCAAUUCUACAGAUUUAAAACCUGACACAGAAAUAAAAGAAUUUGUGGCAACGGCAGAGGAAGAGUUCAAGAACAGCACUGAAAAGACAGAAAGAAAGCUCGUUCCUGAAGAUGAGGAUGACGAGGAUUCUGGAGGCUCCGGACAUGUCCUGCCACAGCGGAAACCAAUGUUCGCUGGAGGCUCUGGACUUGUCCUGCCACAGUGGAAACAAAGAUUUUUCUAUUUUGCUAAAUCUAGACGAGUCAAGCCACAGUGGAAAGAAGUAUAUCCUUGUGAGAUUAUUACAAUAAACCCUCAUCUUGAAGAUAAAGAUGAGGAUGAAGAAAUGGAAAUGUCCAGGACUCAGUCUAUGGACAACUUGGCUCUGAUGCAGAAGCCUCUCUAGCAGUGAUGUGUUUUGAAGUUUGAUUUCGGGUGAAUCAAAGCUUCAUCCGGCAGACCAAGGAUUGAAAAUAAAGCAUCCAUAACCAGUUCCUUAUCA